CCUACGGGGGGCAGCAGUGAGGAAUAUUGGUCAAUGGACGAGAGUCUGAACCAGCCAAGUAGCGUGAAGGAUGACUGCCCUAUGGGUUGUAAACUUCUUUUAUAUGGGAAUAAAAUGUUCCACGUGUGGGAUUUUGUAUGUACCAUAUGAAUAAGGAUCGGCUAACUCCGUGCCAGCAGCCGCGGUAAUACGGAGGAUCCGAGCGUUAUCCGGAUUUAUUGGGUUUAAAGGGAGCGUAGGUGGAUUGUUAAGUCAGUUGUGAAAGUUUGCGGCUCAACCGUAAAAUUGCAGUUGAAACUGGCAGUCUUGAGUACAGUAGAGGUGGGCGGAAUUCGUGGUGUAGCGGUGAAAUGCUUAGAUAUCACGAAGAACUCCGAUUGCGAAGGCAGUUCACUGGACUGCAACUGACACUGAGGCUCGAAAGUGUGGGUAUCAAACAGGUUUAGAUACCCUAGUAGUC
rnacentral:rRNA from 1 species